UAACUUGUAACCUAUGAACAAAUUGAGGUCACACGGCCAAGUCACACGCCUAUGUGCUAGGUCGUGUGGAACAUUAUUUUUCAUAAAAUAAGUGCAGACUUCACACGGCCAUAGGCACACGCCCGUGUUUGAGGCCGUGUUGCCCACACGACUGAGAUAUACGCCCGCAUCUCUGCCCGUCUGCUAAAUUCUGAGCAUUCUGU
rnacentral:lncRNA from 1 species